AAAAAAAAACAUGCAACAGUGUCGCGCCUUGUGCCAGUCACCCAUCUCCUGCCCUCCCUCCCUUUUAGAAAGGAAAAAAAAAAACCGUCUGCGUCUCCUCGCCGUGAGAUUCCCUGUGCGCACCCAGUCCACUCAUCCAGUUCUGGAACGAUGGAGGGAAAGGGGAAAGGGCAGCUUGUUGCUGCUACUGCUACUACUGCCAUGUUACAGCUUCGAAAAAUCCGAGCAGGAUAUUCCCAAACAGCUGGAAGGAGGUGAUAUAUGGUGCUGCGCCCUCACGCUGGCUGGGCCCUCCCCAAAAUGGACCGGUACUGUGCGCUAACCUGGUUAUUUUCAGCGCGUCACUGGCUCGCGUCCAAUUAUAGGUUUCCGUCCGGGGGCGCAGUAGUUGUCCUGAAAGAGGACUUGAAAACGGAUCAAGAGCUCUAGACAGAGAAAUGUCCGAGCAUGUGCCUCUCAGCUGCACAUAUUCCUGCGGCGCGCUGACUCUCCCCUGUACGCGGGCCACCCAGGCCCGGGGCUGAACUCCGCCGCCGGUCCUCCUUAGCACGUCGCCUCCGGGGCGACUCGUCUGCGCCUCUCUCAAGGUGUUCCCCCCUUUUUAUCGUUUCUGACUGUGUACAUCCCGGGUUCAUCACACCUCUCCCGUUAUCUCCACUCACCAGCAACAUGUUGGUGCACAGCGACCUCUGGCGACACUGACUACGUAAUUACUUUGAUUACUUGCAAGCAGCUGGUAACUGUAGUGAGUGAUUUACGCAUUCGAUCUCUUACAGGAUAGUUUGGCUCCAAAAAGUGGAAAAAUGUGAAAUUUUAAAAAUGUCAUCUCAAGAACUCUCUGUGACGAUAAAGUAUCCAGUGAUAAUAUUGAGAACAAUUACGCUAAUAAAGCUGUUAAGGUCAAUAAUGGGUCAAUUAGGACACGUGAGAUACUGGGCCCAGUCUCCAUUCAAGCUUAAUGUUUGGGGCUUUGUUCCUAUACAAUACACUAAAUCAUAAUUAUUUUUGCAUUUCGCUUUAUUUUGCUUACAUGCAGCUUUUAUCAGUUUAUUGUAAUUCGUACCGUUUCAAUUAUAACUUUCAUUUACCCUUGCGUAUGAUUUUAUUUUAUUUUAUUUUAUUUUAUUUUAUUUUAUUUUAUUUUAUUUUAUUUUAUUUUAUUUUAUUUUAUUUUAUUUUGACAUCUUAUUCAAGGCUCUCCGAAUCAGAUUUUCUGUUUUGUCAUCUCACAUGGCUUCAGUCAGGUGCUUCACAUAACGAGGUCGUUUGCUUCAAAAUAAAAGCACUUUCAUGUCUGGCCCUUUAAAGAUAAAAAUGGAUUGACAAAACAGACUGAGUUUUCACUUUGGUUACUCCUGCGUCUCAAAAUACUUCACAACAGCGGCCUGUUGCUGUCGCUUUGCCGUAAAACGCUUGUGCCAGGUGGGCUUUUAUCGUGAAAACCCUGCCCGGAAACGAGACGUGCUGUCGACGUGAGCUUUAUUGUAGAAUAGCAAUGUCAGACUUUGUGUCUAACGGGGACACCCCGGCUUCUUAUAAACAGAAUAACUCAGCACCAAAGGGGCGGAUGUUGACCUCCGUCUGAACCGUGUGGAGCAGGGGAGACCAGCAGCCAAUGAGGCGGCAGGUCGGCCGCAGGCGGCACUCUCGAUGGUCUCCCCCACCAUGAAGGCGGUGGUGGAUGCCGUGUGGGCAGUGUGGAGCAUCGGCGCCUCCAUCUAUGACUACAUCCACACCAACGCCAUGGAGGAGCGCAUCCACGCCCUGGAGAACGUCAUAACCAUCCAUCAGUGUGUGAUCGGGCUGCUGACUGCCGGCGUGCUGGCUCUCUUCACCUACAUCCUCCUCAAGAAGCUCUGACCCGAUGACCUGAAGAGGAAGACUGAUGCCGAGUGUGAGAAAGGAGAGCAUUCUGGGAUACUUGUAGUUUUUCCGCGAUGAAAGAAAACAGGCACGUCUGCACAGUUUGCUACGUUGGAAGGAGAGAACUGUGUAAAAUAAUACCAUCCACAUUGGAAGCUGCUUUUUUAUUGUGUCAUCAUCUCUGCAGGAUUUUUAAGAGCAGUCGUUGAUUUUUCACUGUCCUGAUCUUUUUUUUUUCCUUUUUGAAGGUCUGACAGGAUUGUUCAUUUUGAUUUAAUAAUGCUCUGUUAAUUUACAGGGUAAAGACACUCAGUAUACUGUCCUUAAAUUUAGCCUUAAUUGAAUUCCUAUAAAAAUAAAAGCAUUUACACUGUUGACUAACAUACAUCCAACACAUAUUUCUCAGGUAAUAUAAGGAAACUCUCCAGCAUCCAAAGGAAAUGUCACUCGAUUUCUUUACAUUCUUUUAAAGACGGCUGUUGCUUUUCACUCGCUGUUCCUGUCAACAAGAAGUUCAGUCAGCAUCAUGGGAAAUAUAACAUUUAAGAGUAUAGAUGUCUUCUGACAAGUUUAGUUUAUAGUUGCAUUUAGUAACUUAAAUAAUGAUAAAAAUCAGUUAUUAUUCUUAAAUAUAGUUGUAAUAACAAAUUCGGGUUUAGGAUGUUUUUUUUAUUUAUUUUUUAUUCAUUUUUCCAUGGAAUAACUAUUGAAUUUCCUUAACAGAAUGAAAAAGUACCAGUGAUAGAUUUUUUUUUGCCAUUAUGUUGGAAAUGUGAUUUAUUAAUUUGUUUUUUUUUCCUUUUUACAUUAUUUUUCACAAUUGACACCCCACAGAGGAAAACACAUGUAUCCUCUUUUGGAAAAUGAGUUAUUUCAAAAUUGACAUUCUCUAUGAAAGAUAUUUAUCAGAAUUUACAGUUUGUCUUUUUUUUUUCAAAAGGUCAGGUAACAUUUGCGUCUCGUAGCAUUUUAUUUAGUUGCACUGAGGAGAAAAAAUAAGUUUUGGACUGUAAAAGUUUUAAUCCCCUGAUAUGUUUUUGUUUAACCCAAUUUUUACAUUUAUUCUGUUGUGGUCAGGAACAUGUUGCUCCAUCAGAGUUUAAGAGACUUUACAGUUGGUUAGUGUGUUUCAUAUUAAGAUCAAAUGGGUGGUUAAUGGAUUUUAACAGGAGUUUCUGUGAUAGACCAGCACAAUGUAGUGAAAAUUGUGAAGUGGAAAGAAGGAAGUAAAGGGUUCCAAGUUUUUUCACUAAGAUCUUCAUCGUCCUCCACCUGCCCCAGCUGAACAACAGCAGCCCACAGCAUGACGCUGCUCUGACCCGUUCAUGCCAUUAUGAUGAUGUGCAGUUCAGUGUUUUUUUUAUGUCUCAUACUUUUAAGUUUUUGUAACAUUCUGGACAUUUGAGUGUCGGGUCAUUUUGCUACUUUUGUUGCAUCUGGACUAAUUUGGGUCAGCUGUAUUUCAAAAUGUAAAGUUUUCCGGACUGCCAUUUGGUGUCUGGUUGUUUUGUUACCCGAGCUGAGGCACCAAGUGACUCCCACGACCAUAACCCUAAUGAAGAGUUACGAUACCUGCUAAUUUCAGUCACUAAUGGAGGCUGUUGGUUGUACUGGGUUUUAUGUAUUCGUAGUAAAGGGGGCAUUGAUGUUCAUUUUGAGAACCUACUUCCACUUUAUAAUUGUGCUCUAUUUUGUGGUGGUCCACCACUUAAAAUGUUUUGAAAUUUGAAGUUUUAAACUAAGUACUUUUACACAUUAACUGAAUGCAUUUUCUACUUGCUCUUAUAUGUUAUGUUGCAUAGAAUAUGAAGAUCUAUUUUGAUUUUUUUCCCCCAUAAACAUUGUAUACCUCAUAACCAAGACUUUAGGUGCCACUGCAGUAAAAAUAAGCCACUAAUUGUAAGUGUCCUUAAAAUCUGUAAUUAAAUAUGGAGGUUUAUUGCCAUUUUAAUGUUU